rnacentral:lncRNA from 1 species
AAAAGAAUGAUGAAAUCACAUUGCCUCAAAAACCACACCUCUUUGUGUGGGGAAGAUAGCUGCAUAUUUGUGAUAAAGAAGCUGAUUUAGGAUAGGAAGGAUCGUAUCUCCAUAAUGAGAUCAGGAGACUGUUGUUCAUACUGAUGGAAGUUAAUGAGAAAUUUCAGACUGUAGUAACAUCACAGUGUGGGAGGAACUGUUUUGAAAGCUAAUCACGCUGAAUUUCCUGGAGG